UACGAAGGGGGCUAGCGUUGCUCGGAAUCACUGGGCGUAAAGGGUGCGUAGGCGGGUCUUUAAGUCAGGGGUGAAAUCCUGGAGCUCAACUCCAGAACUGCCUUUGAUACUGGUGAGCUUGAGUCCGGAAGAGGUGAGUGGAACUGCGAGUGUAGAGGUGAAAUUCGUAGAUAUUCGCAAGAACACCAGUGGCGAAAGCGGCUCACUGGUCCGGUACUGACGCUGAGGUGCGAAAGCGUGGGGAGCAAACAGG
rnacentral:rRNA from 1 species